CUUUUGGGUGGAUCUCACAAAAAUUCACAUCUGUGUGCAGUUUUCAUUCGCUGUUUGUGGUACAAAGAUGAUGCUUCUGUUCUGUCUGCUUGUGUUUUCAAUAACAGAAUAUACAUUUGCACAGUCAAUAAGACCACAGCAGAAUGACAUUAAUAUCACUGAAAAGCAGCCGGUCAUGCUGUCAUGCAAAUAUGAGGGAAGUGCAAACAGUCUGCAUUGGUAUCGCCAGUAUCCUGGAUCCAAACCUGAAUUUGUGCUGCUUGUCAUUGAGGCAUCCACUAUACAUGUAAAAUAUGCAGAUCCCCGUAUCCCUGGAAUGGAUGGAAAAAUAAGCAUGAAAGAUAAGCAAGUGUAUCUGGAGAUCUCCUCUGCUGAAGUAUCAGACUCUGCUCUGUAUUACUGCGCCCUGGAGCCCACAGUGACAGGAAACACAUCAACACUGUACAAAAACCUACUGAAUCUCCAUUCUUUUGUCAUAGCCUCAUGUUUUCUGCUUGCAGAUUAAUCAGGUUAUUCAAAUAAAUUCAAAUUUAUUUAUGAAUUAAAAAAUAUUUUUAAAAAUAGCUAUAAAGAAUGUAAAUAUAUUGGAUAUUUCAACACUAAUAUGAUCAAAAUAAAUUUGAAAAUGAAUAGGCAUGAAUUUCUGGGCCAGAUUUAAGGAUACAAUUCAUAUGAAUGUUUAAGGGAAAAAUAAAAUCUUAUGUACUGUGAUGGAUCACCAUUUUCUUUUGCCAAUUUAAAUCACCCUUGUUGACCUCACUAGUUUAUUUUAAAUGGAACUGCGGUGUAGCAAAUUAAAUUUAAAAGUACAAAUAUUCAAUGUAUCCCAAUUAAUAUGGUCAUAAACAUGGCAUGCAUUAUAAUGCUAUAUUAAAUAGUUUAUAAUAACAGAGUAUAGCAUGUCUCAUCACUAGAUUUGUCAUA